rnacentral:rRNA from 1 species
AGAGUUUGAUCCUGGCUCAGGACGAACGCUGGCGGCGUGCCUAACACAUGCAAGUCGAACGAGAAACCCAUUUGUGAUCCCUUCGGGGUGAACUGUUGGGUGGAAAGUGGCGGACGGGCGAGUAACGCGUGAGUAACCUGCCCAUAAGAGGGGGAUAAUCCUUGGAAACGAGGACUAAUACCGCAUAUUGAAAUUUUAUGGCAUCAUAGAAUUUUGAAAGAUUUAUCGCUUAUGGAUGGACUCGCGUCAGAUUAGCUGGUUGGUGAGGUAACGGCUCACCAAGGCGACGAUCUGUAGCCGAACUGAGAGGUUGAUCGGCCGCAUUGGGACUGAGACACGGCCCAGACUCCUACGGGAGGCAGCAGUGGGGAAUAUUGCGCAAUGGGGGCAACCCUGACGCAGCAACGCCGCGUGCAGGAAGAAGGUCUUCGGAUUGUAAACUGUUGUCGCAGGGGAAGAAGACAGUGACGGUACCCUGUGAGAAAGUCACGGCUAACUACGUG